ACGCCUCGCUACGCCGAUGCCGACUGUCUGCUGUGUAUGCAAAGUGCCCUUCCAAAAAACUGGUGAUAGGCGGUAUUUUAGAAUACCAGCUGACAGGGUGUGGGAAUGGACGACGAUCAUACGAAAGUUGUUGGGUAAACCAAUCGACAGGAUUCCUGCCGUCGAUUCCCGGGUUUGCAGUGGCCACUUCGCUUCAGGUCCGUAUAUUUGUGAAUUACCUUUGUGACUCAUAUAGUUUAUGGUUUUCGCACUGUUUGCGCUAUGUUCGGGUCAGAAGUCAAAUAAGACAACUGAUGUUGACUGGGUUCCGACGGUGUUCGCCAAGAAACGGAAGUUCGGGAGCGAGCUUCAGAACAUCGCAUGUUGGGAUGGUCCUGACAGAAACAGCAGUGAAGCAAACAAAAAUGAAACGGUUGAGCUUUGUAAUGGUAUGACGAAGUUAAGUGAGGCUAAUAAUUAAAAAAAAGCGGCUGUUCAGACGACUCUGAAGAAAUCUGUCUGUUUUUUUUUCAGCUACCGCACUAACAUCUCAAGCAUCCUUGACAAAGGAAACAGCAGCUGUGGCAGAAUCCCAAGAUAACAAUGAACCUGUUGUACGGCACGUCUCCGACGAAGCUCAACGUUUCACAGAUAUUUCUAGCAGCAAUCCAGAGGAUCAAGCUGAAAGUGAGGAAUGGCCCAUGAAACUUCAACAGAGGUGUCUGAAAACUCCCCCGAAGCUACCAUACUAGAACACCAAGGAGACACAUCGUUUUCCUCCACCUCAAGCCAGCAAAAAUAUCUUGCAAAUUGCCGGGAAACAGAUGCUCAGAAGGAGGAAAAUGACUGACUUCGAAUGGAGUACCAGAUCCUUCUUACAGACAGAGAAAAUAUGCGGCAUAAGGCUGAAAAUGCUCGCUGGUGCUACAGAACUAUAUAUGACUGUAACGUGGGAGGUGUGUCA